GAUACAAAGACAGCCAGGAGGUUGGCUUAGAAGCAGCAAUUCCUUUAAAGAGUGCGUAACAGCUCACUGGUCGAGUGUCCAUGCGCAGAUAAUGUAACGGGGCUAAGCAGUAUACCGAAGCUACGGGUCUUAUGCAUUUUUGAGCAUAAGGCGGUAGGGGAGCAUUCCAUUAACUGAUGAAGGCAUACUCGCGAGAGGUGCUGGAGGAGAUGGAAGAGAGAAUGCAGGUAUAAGUAACGAAAAGGGAGGUGAGAUCCCUCCCCGCCGAAAAUCUAAGGUUUCCUGGGUAAAGGUAAUCUUCCCAGGGUAAGUCGGCCCCUAAGGCGAGGACGAAGGUCGUAGUCGAUGGGAAAUCGGUUCAUAUUCCGAUACCUUUUAUAAUUUCGAUGGCAGGACGCAUGAGGUGAAACCUGGCCGGCUAACGGAUGCCGGUCAAAGUAAGCGAGCCGUUAUAAAGGAUGAUAGGCAAAUCCGUCGUCCAAGGUAAGCUGCGACAGCGAGUGAAACUACGGUGGAUCGAAGCGGGCGUAAUCAAGGUGCCGGGAAAUACUGUCUAAGGUUAGGUUAUAAAAGACCGUACCGUAAACCGACACAGGUAGAUGGGAUGAGAAAUCUAAGGCGCUCGAGAGAACUCGCGUUAAGGAAUUCGGCAAAAUGCACACGUAACUUCGGAAAAAGUGUGACCUCCUUUUUUUUAAAGAUGAGGGGGUAGCAGAAAGCAGGCCCAGGCGACUGUUUAUCAAAAACACAGCCAUCUGCGAACCAGCAAUGGGACGUAUAGGUGGUGACACCUGCCCGGUGCCGGAAGGUUAAGAGGAGAGGUUAACAGCAAUGUGAAGCUUUGAAUUGAAGCCCCGGUAAACGGCGGCCGUAACUAUAACGGUCCUAAGGUAGCGAAAUUCCUUGUCGGGUAAGUUCCGACCCGCACGAAUGGUGUAACGAUUCUGGGCACUGUCUCAACGCGAGACUCGGUGAAAUUUAUAUACCGGUAAAGAAGCCGGUUACCCAUAGUUAGACGGUAAGACCCCGUGAACCUUCACCGCAACUUAUUAUUGGGACUUGGUUUAUCAUGUGUAGAAUAGGUGGGAGGCUAAGAAGCUUGACCGUUAGGUUGGGUGGAGCCGAAAAGUGAAAUACCACCCUUGAUAAAUCAGGUUUCUAACCUGUCCCGUGAAACCGGGAUAGGGACAGUGAUAGGCAGGCGGUUUGACUGGGGCGGUCGCCUCCUAAAGAGUAACGGAGGUGCGCGAAGGUCUCCUCACGCCGGUUGGAAAUCGGCGCAGCGAGUGUAAAGGCACAAGGAGGCUUAACUGCGAGAGUGACAGCUCAAGCAGAUACGAAAGUAGGUCUUAAUGAUCUGGCGGUAGCGAGUGGAAGCGCCGUCACUUAACGGAUAAAAGGUACUCCGGGGAUAACAGGCUGAUAUUCCCCAAGAGUUCACAUCGACGGGAAUGUUUGGCACCUCGAUGUCGGCUCAUCGCAUCCUGGGGCUGAAGCAGGUCCCAAGGGUUUGGCUGUUCGCCAAUUAAAGCGGUACGUGAGCUGGGUUCAGAACGUCGCGAGACAGUUCGGUCCCUAUCUGCUAUGGGCGUUGGAUACGUGAGAGGAGCUGUUUUUAGUACGAGAGGACCGAAAUGGACGAACCUCUGGUGUACCGGUUAUCCUGCCAAGGGUAAGUGCCGGGUAGCUAAGUUCGGAAGGGAUAACCGCUGAAGGCAUCUAAGUGGGAAGCCCGCCUCAAGACUACGUAUCCCUGAGGGUUUAACCCUCCUAAAGACUCCUUGCACACUACAAGGUUGAUAGGUUGGAGGUCUAAGCACAGUAAUGUGUUCAGCCGACCAAUACUAAUAAGUCGUGAGGCUUGACCAU
rnacentral:rRNA from 1 species